AAGCCACACUAAACGUUGAGUUGGCCGGUGUGCUGACAAACGAACAGGCGUUUUAAGGAUACGUUCGUUGGGUAGGGGAGCGUUCUGUAAGCCGUUGAAGGUGAUCUGUGAGGGUUGCUGGAGGUAUCAGAAGUGCGAAUGCUGACAUAAGUAACGAUAAUGCGGGUGAAAAACCCGCACGCCGGAAGACCAAGGGUUCCUGUCCAACGUUAAUCGGGGCAGGGUGAGUCGACCCCUAAGGCGAGGCUGAAAAGCGUAGUCGAUGGGAAACAGGUUAAUAUUCCUGUACUUGGUGUUACUGCGAAGGGGGGACGGAGAAGGCUAGGCUAGCCGGGCGACGGUUGUCCCGGUUUAAGCAUGUAGGCGGAGUGACCAGGUAAAUCCGGUUGCUUAUCAACGCUGAGGUGUGAUGACGAUGCACUACGGUGCAGAAGUAGUUGAUGCCAUGCUUCCAGGAAAAGCCUCUAAGCAUCAGGUAACAUGAAAUCGUACCCCAAACCGACACAGGUGGUCAGGUAGAGAAUACUCAGGCGCUUGAGAGAACUCGGGUGAAGGAACUAGGCAAAAUGGUGCCGUAACUUCGGGAGAAGGCACGCUGGCAUUAGGUAAAGGGACUUGCUCCCGGCGCCGAAGCCAGUCGCAGAUACCAGCUGGCUGCAACUGUUUAAUAAAAACACAGCACUGUGCAAACACGAAAGUGGACGUAUACGGUGUGACGCCUGCCCGGUGCUGGAAGGUUAAUUGAUGGGGUCAGCCGCAAGGCGAAGCUCUUGAUCGAAGCCCCAGUAAACGGCGGCCGUAACUAUAACGGUCCUAAGGUAGCGAAAUUCCUUGUCGGGUAAGUUCCGACCUGCACGAAUGGCGUAAUGAUGGCCAGGCUGUCUCCACCCGAGACUCAGUGAAAUUGAACUCGCUGUGAAGAUGCAGUGUACCCGCGGCAAGACGGAAAGACCCCGUGAACCUUUACUAUAGCUUGACACUGAACAUUGAGCCUUGAUGUGUAGGAUAGGUGGGAGGCAUAGAAGUGUGGACGCCAGUCUGCAUGGAGCCAACCUUGAAAUACCACCCUUUAAUGUUUGAUGUUCUAACUCGGCCCCGUAAUCCGGGGUGAGGACAGUGUCUGGUGGGUAGUUUGACUGGGGCGGUCUCCUCCCAAAGAGUAACGGAGGAGCACGAAGGUUAGCUAAUCACGGUCGGACAUCGUGAGGUUAGUGCAAAGGCAUAAGCUAGCUUGACUGCGAGAGUGACGGCUCGAGCAGGUACGAAAGUAGGUCUUAGUGAUCCGGUGGUUCUGAAUGGAAGGGCCAUCGCUCAACGGAUAAAAGGUACUCCGGGGAUAACAGGCUGAUACCGCCCAAGAGUUCAUAUCGACGGCGGUGUUUGGCACCUCGAUGUCGGCUCAUCACAUCCUGGGGCUGAAGUAGGUCCCAAGGGUAUGGCUGUUCGCCAUUUAAAGUGGUACGCGAGCUGGGUUUAGAACGUCGUGAGACAGUUCGGUCCCUAUCUGCCGUGGGCGUUGGAAGAUUGAGAGGGGCUGCUCCUAGUACGAGAGGACCGGAGUGGACGAAUCACUGGUGUUCGGGUUGUCAUGCCAAUGGCAUUGCCCGGUAGCUAAAUUCGGAAGAGAUAACCGCUGAAAGCAUCUAAGCGGGAAACUUGCCUCGAGAUGAGUCUUCCCUGGGGCUUUAAGCCCCCUGAAGGAACGUUAAAGACGAUGACGUUGAUAGGCUGGGUGUGUAAGUGCAGCGAUGCAUUGAGCUAACCAGUACUAAUGAACCGUGAGGCUUAACCUU
rnacentral:rRNA from 1 species